rnacentral:rRNA from 1 species
UACGUAGGGGGCUAGCGUUGUCCGGAAUCAUUGGGCGUAAAGAGCGUGUAGGCGGUCCGGUAAGUCCGCUGUGAAAGUCGGGGGCUCAACCCUCGGAUGCCGGCGGAUACUGUCGGGCUUGAGUACGGAAGAGGCGAGUGGAAUUCCUGGUGUAGCGGUGAAAUGCGCAGAUAUCAGGAGGAACACCAAUUGCGAAGGCAGCUCGCUGGGACGUUACUGACGCUGAGACGCGAAAGCGUGGGGAGCAAACAGG